UACGUAGGGGGCAAGCGUUGUCCGGAUUUAUUGGGCGUAAAGAGCGUGUAGGCGGCCAGGUAGGUCCGCUGUGAAAACUCGAGGCUCAACCUCGAGAUGUCGGCGGAAACCAUCUGGCUAGAGUCCGGAAGAGGAAAGUGGAAUUCCCGGUGUAGCGGUGAAAUGCGUAGAGAUCAGGAAGAACACCGGUGGCGAAGGCGCUCUGCUAGGCCGCAACUGACACUGAGGGACGAAAGCUAGGGGAGCGAAUGGG
rnacentral:rRNA from 1 species